ensembl:lncRNA
CCCUAGUUCUCAUUGGAGUCUUCUGAUUGGAGAGGCAUUGGGGUAGGCAGGGUCAGAAGAAGAGUGGAUUCAUUUCGGUGACUUUCAAGGGUAUAAGCCAGGACUGUCUGGCUUCAAAUCUCAUGUUUUUUGCUUCCUACCUGACCAGAAACUUCUCCUUCCAACUUUUAAAACUUAAAUGGCAACCCACUCCAGUAUUCUUGCCUGGAGAAUCCCAUAGACGGAGGAGCCUGAUAGGCUACAAUCCACAGGGUCGCAAAGAGUCGGACACAACUGAGCAACUUCACUUUCUUUUCUUUCUUUCUUUUCUGGGUUACGAACAUCAUUUUGGAAUCCCCUAAAAACCACACUGGCUUUUCAGAAAGACACUAACAAUUCCCUUUUAAGAGAAAAGCUUCUCGAUCUCCAUACCUUAGCCCAAACUCUCAGUGUGCAACGGAUCAACUUAGAAGGUACCAGUGGCUUGAAAAGAGCAAGACCCUGCUUCCCUAGGGGAGGAAAGCCUGGCUGUGCUUUUGCAAAUUUCCCAGCACAGCCUCACUUUCUCAGCCUAACCAGCUCCCUGGAGUCCCCAAGAUGAAAGCUGCCAGGCUUUUCAGGGUGCUGCAUGGACUAGCUCCAAGAUUCUCGGCUCCCAGUAGGGGUGGCAACCCCUUCCUCAUGGAGCUCAGAAGUGCCCCGUCCUAUGUGAGCUCCAGGAGCACUGAACAAGCGGGAGGGUUUGGUUUGAUUCCUUACUGAGCUCAGCACCAUGGGACUUUCCAGAAGAUAUUCUUGAGUUUCAGUUCACAGCCCAUUGGAUUUCACUUCAACCUGAAAACUCACAGGGAAGGUCAGCUGAAACAACCGAGUCUGGGCACUCUCCCCUUAGAACUGUCAAUCACACUGCCGCCACCAAGGACAGGAGGUGGUGAGCCGAGGAACUCGGCCUCUCCUGACCUGGUUUACCCCAAGUGUGUGUGAGAGUUGUGGGGGCACAAGCUGGAAAGGGCAGGACUUUUCGUUUCACACCUGCUUGGGUUUUCCUUAUGAAACGUUUCCAUCAUUGACGCUGAGGUGUUUCCUUAAACCGCGACUCCACCUGAUGUAAACAGGCUGCCAAUACAGGCCCGAGUGAAUGUUAAUAACCACUUAGGGGCACUAUAUAUGGGCCAAGUACUGCACUGAGCCCUUGACUUUCAUUUUUCCACGUGAUCCUCCAAGUAAAACCCCAUGAGCUAGGUGCCAUUAUCAUCAGCAUUUAAUAGAGGAGGAAACUAAGCUAGAAACUUAGCACAACUGGGAUGUAAACCCAGGGACAGCUGGCCGGAGACUGGGUAACAACGAAAAAGAAUUGCACCAAGUAUCUGGAGCAAAUGCUUGCGCUGGGCGUGGGAGAGCCAGGGUCAUCCCAAGAGCUCUAUGUGCGCCCAGUCCACGAGGCCCGAAAUGGGGCCGGGCCGGCUUUCCUAUGACGGAGGUGCUGAAAAGCCAGCCACGAUGUAACUACAGCGGAGAGGAAGCGACACAGAAAAUGGUGAAGUCAAACAAAGGGGCAGGAAGAAAAAGCAGAGAAACAAAAGUGUUCCUCUCCCUGCAGGGAGAAAGGAACCGCCGCCGGUGGCCCAACUCAGUCCCCUCCCGCCAUCUAGUGGCCAUACUGUGUCACUGCAGCGCAGGCUGCUGCGGGCGAUCUGGAUGCGGGAUGCUGCCGGGAGAUGGCUCUCUCCCGGUCCCAAGAGAAAAUGCAUGCGGCGGCGAAAAGGCUCACUUAAGCCAAAAUCACGGCCUCGAGAGCAGGCCCUUCUUUGUGGAAGGGCUUGUUUAGAUUCGAAAUACUGCGCAGUUAAAGAACAGAUGUGUGUCCGGCUCAUCGGCGGGUUAAGGGACGUUGGGAUUGGAAAUUCCCCAGCCCCGAGCAAUUUCUUUAAAAGGAUUCACAUGUGUAGCGCACAUUUAGCUCUCCCUCAGGAAAAGCCGGCUCUCUAGUAAUAGAGAUUAUUUGUUCCUUCCGUUUUCCGACGCUAUCCAGAAGCCAAAUAUUCUUAAAAGUUUUAAAGCGAAUGGAGCAAGGAUGAUAUUAACAUGGAUUUCUUGGCCGGAAUCCAUUCCCUAAUGGGAGAACCCCAGGUUUUAUCCUCAUCUAAUAACUAGCUUUCCUUUGAAAAAUAUGUAAUUCAGGAUCUGGUCAUUAUUUUUCUGUGCAAGGUUUUACC